AAAUUGAAGAGUUUGAUCAUGGCUCAGAUUGAACGCUGGCGGCAGGCCUAACACAUGCAAGUCGAACGGUAACAGGAAGCAGCUUGCUGCUUCGCUGACGAGUGGCGGACGGGUGAGUAAUGUCUGGGAAACUGCCUGAUGGAGGGGGAUAACUACUGGAAACGGUAGCUAAUACCGCAUAACGUCGCAAGACCAAAGAGGGGGACCUUCGGGCCUCUUGCCAUCGGAUGUGCCCAGAUGGGAUUAGCUUGUUGGUGGGGUAACGGCUCACCAAGGCGACGAUCCCUAGCUGGUCUGAGAGGAUGACCAGCCACACUGGAACUGAGACACGGUCCAGACUCCUACGGGAGGCAGCAGUGGGGAAUAUUGCACAAUGGGCGCAAGCCUGAUGCAGCCAUGCCGCGUGUAUGAAGAAGGCCUUCGGGUUGUAAAGUACUUUCAGCGGGGAGGAAGGGAGUAAAGUUAAUACCUUUGCUCAUUGACGUUACCCGCAGAAGAAGCACCGGCUAACUCCGUGCCAGCAGCCGCGGUAAUACGGAGGGUGCAAGCGUUAAUCGGAAUUACUGGGCGUAAAGCGCACGCAGGCGGUUUGUUAAGUCAGAUGUGAAAUCCCCGGGCUCAACCUGGGAACUGCAUCUGAUACUGGCAAGCUUGAGUCUCGUAGAGGGGGGUAGAAUUCCAGGUGUAGCGGUGAAAUGCGUAGAGAUCUGGAGGAAUACCGGUGGCGAAGGCGGCCCCCUGGACGAAGACUGACGCUCAGGUGCGAAAGCGUGGGGAGCAAACAGGAUUAGAUACCCUGGUAGUCCACGCCGUAAACGAUGUCGACUUGGAGGUUGUGCCCUUGAGGCGUGGCUUCCGGAGCUAACGCGUUAAGUCGACCGCCUGGGGAGUACGGCCGCAAGGUUAAAACUCAAAUGAAUUGACGGGGGCCCGCACAAGCGGUGGAGCAUGUGGUUUAAUUCGAUGCAACGCGAAGAACCUUACCUGGUCUUGACAUCCACGGAAGUUUUCAGAGAUGAGAAUGUGCCUUCGGGAACCGUGAGACAGGUGCUGCAUGGCUGUCGUCAGCUCGUGUUGUGAAAUGUUGGGUUAAGUCCCGCAACGAGCGCAACCCUUAUCCUUUGUUGCCAGCGGUCCGGCCGGGAACUCAAAGGAGACUGCCAGUGAUAAACUGGAGGAAGGUGGGGAUGACGUCAAGUCAUCAUGGCCCUUACGACCAGGGCUACACACGUGCUACAAUGGCGCAUACAAAGAGAAGCGACCUCGCGAGAGCAAGCGGACCUCAUAAAGUGCGUCGUAGUCCGGAUUGGAGUCUGCAACUCGACUCCAUGAAGUCGGAAUCGCUAGUAAUCGUGGAUCAGAAUGCCACGGUGAAUACGUUCCCGGGCCUUGUACACACCGCCCGUCACACCAUGGGAGUGGGUUGCAAAAGAAGUAGGUAGCUUAACCUUCGGGAGGGCGCUUACCACUUUGUGAUUCAUGACUGGGGUGAAGUCGUAACAAGGUAACCGUAGGGGAACCUGCGGUUGGAUCACCUCCUUACCUUAAAGAA
rnacentral:rRNA from 2 species